UUGUUUUUCCUUCUCUUUCUCCCUCUCUUCAGCUUUGUUUUUCCACUCAAACCACCAUAUCUGCUCACCAGCAUCAAAGUCAGAUGUUUUAAGCUCUUUUGCUUGACAAAGGCAGCACUCUCUCUCUAUACAUGCACUCUUUCUUCAGGUUCUGACAGCACAAAGACCCAAUAAGGUUCUGACAGCACAACGACCCAAUAAGGUUCUGACAGCACAACGACCCAAUAAGGUUCUGACAGCACAACGACCCAACAAGGUUCUGACAGCACAACGACCCAAUAAGGUUCUGACAGCACAAAGACCCAAUAAGGUUCUGACAGCACAAAGACCCAAUAAGGUUCUGACAGCACAACGACCCAAUAAGGUUCUGACAGCACAAAGACCCAAUAAGGUUCUGACAGCACAACGACCCAAUAAGGUUCUGACAGCACAACGACCCAAUAAGGUUCUGACAGCACAAAAAGCACCCAAUAAGGUUCUGACAGCACAACGACCCAAUAAGGUUCUGACAGCACAAAGACCCAAUAAGGUUCUGACAGCACAAAGACCCAAUAAGGUUCUGACAGCACAAAGACCCAAUAAGGUUCUGACAGCACAAAAAGCACCCAAUAAGGUUCUGACAGCACAACGACCCAAUAAGGUUCUGACAGCACAACGACCCAAUAAGGUUCUGACAGCACAAAAAGCACCCAAUAAGGUUUUCAUUGUUGCUGCAGGUGAUCACUUUAUGAUACUGUAGUUUGUCGGCCAUGAACUGGAGGUCGGU